UGUUAUUGAGAUAUGAUAUUACUUAAUGUUACCUGUGUGUAUGAUAAUUGCUAGUGUGACCUUAAUUCAAGCUUAUCUUCACUGUGUUGAUAAAAUUUACUACUUCAAUAAGUCAAGUAUUGUUUGUAAUUAAAGUACAAUAACUAGACACAUAGGCAAUAACAGUGCAUGUCCUUAUUCAUUUUGAUUGCUGUUUUAUGCCUGCAGUCAUGUUCUAGUUUUGUGGAAUAAAUUUGCAAUAUUUUUUAUUGUUUAUUUUCAGCUAUGAUUGACAGUUUGGGCGGCCCAGUCCGUGUCAACAAUUUAUUAUCCACUCUAAAUGUCAAGCCUAUAUGUAACAGGAAUCUGAAGAAAAUGGAGGAACGUGCAGGCGAGGCCACAGAGGCACAUUCUGUGCAUUCUACAAACCAAGCUGCUCUCCAAGCAUUUGAGAAAGAAAUUGAAGACAUUGCACAUCAAGAAUCAUAUGAGGCCCGGAAAUCAAUGGAAGGGAUGUUAUUGGAUGAUCUUGGGGUUUGUCCACUACCAGAUGAAUCACCAAACCUUCGUCGACUGUUACAAGAUACAUCAGUUGUUGAGGGGGAUUCAGAUUGGACUGAUGUUGAGUCUGAUACUGAAGAAGGAAAUGAUGGUCCAGCUGACAACAUUCAGAGCUAUAGACCUGUUACAGACGAUCCCUUCAGAACUCCAGAAACAAAUGGCAUACCACAGUCUGUCAGAAAAAAGACAAAGAAACACCAUAUCCAAGAUACAGGCUCUUCAAGCAGAAGAUGUUUGGUUAAGAAAUUCCCUUGCAAGACCAGAAAGGGGAUGAGUUGUGCUGUCGAUACUGCUUGGCAAAAAAAAGGCUUUGAUAGUUUAACCUCACACACGUUCUUUAUGAGCAAGGCAAAGUAUGGAAAGAAAGUUGUGAAGUCUGUUAUAAGUCAUAGGACAUGUGGUACAUGUAACUGGUGGAGACGAAAUAAGCCCGGUCAGCCUGUUAGACCUCACAAGUGUGUACGAAAUCAUACUGGAAGUGCCCGUUUGAUGGAGAGUGUCAGUGGAGAGAGGGGGGUAGCAGAACUUGCAGCAGAAGGAACGCCAGUCGAGUACAUUGAAGGCGAUGGUGAUAACACCCUGAUAGCUAGAUUAAAAAACAACAUGAACAUAGACAUGAAAAAAAGUUGACUGCUGUUCGUUUACUGUUACACAGUUGAUCUUCGGUACUAGGCCACUUUGGUUGCAGUUCUACAGAUGUUAUGACCAAUAUGAACCUUGGAUUGUCACCUGGAAGUCAUACCAUAAAGUACGCAGAUAAAUG
rnacentral:misc_RNA from 1 species